GCGGGCGGCUCCCCAUUGUGGCGCUGCGAGCAUCCGAGGCUUUCGGCUGGCGCUGGCUCUUUUUGCAGACUUUAACGGAUCGUAGGAGACCUGUGUCUUUCCCCUUCGCUCCCUGCAGGCGUGGUCCUCCAGCUCUACCUUUCUCAGGGCGGUGGAAUCCGAGCUGAGAAGCUGCCUCGCUCUCCAGAGGUACCAGCUGAAGCCAGAGAACAUCUACCCACAGCAGAGAAACCAGGAAGAGCAUUCUGCCUGUUUAAUACAUUACAAUAUGAACGGUUUCCUUUUAGUUUAAAUAUAUAUCAUCAGUUCAAAGAAAGUAAAAACUCCUAUAUACCUCUUAA